UACGUAGGUGGCGAGCGUUGUCCGGAAUUACUGGGCGUAAAGGGUGCGUAGGCGGUUGAUUAAGUCAGAUGUGAAAUUCCGGGGCUCAACUUCGGAAUUGCAUUUGAAACUGGUCAACUAGAGUGCAGGAGAGGAAAGCGGAAUUCCUAGUGUAGCGGUGAAAUGCGUAGAUAUUAGGAAGAACACCAGUGGCGAAGGCGGCUUUCUGGACUGUAACUGACGCUGAGGCACGAAAGCGUGGGGAGCAAACAGG
rnacentral:rRNA from 1 species